rnacentral:rRNA from 1 species
UACGUAGGGUGCAAGCGUUGUCCGGAAUUAUUGGGGCGUAAAGAGCUUGUAGGCGGUUUGUCGCGUCUGCUGUGAAAUUUCGGGGCUCAACCCCGAACUUGCAGUGGGUACGGGCAGACUAGAGUGUGGUAGGGGGAGACUGGAAUUCCUGGUGUAGCGGUGAAAUGCGCAGAUAUCAGGAGGAACACCGGUGGCGAAGGCGGUUCUCUGGGCCUUACCUGACGCUGAGGAGCGAAAGCGUGGGGAGCGAACAGG